rnacentral:tRNA from 1 species
GGGCGGUUAACUCAGCGGGAGAGUGCUACCCUCACACGGUAGAAGCCACUGGUUCAAUCCCAGUACCGCCCACCA